UGAUGGGGGCGCUGCUUACCAUGCAGUCGACGCUGAAAGCUCCAGCUUGCUGGGGUGGAUGAGUGGCGAACGGGUGAGUAAUACGUGAGUAACCUGCCCUUGACUCUGGGAUAAGCCUGGGAAACCGGGUCUAAUACUGGAUACGACGUCCUACCGCAUGGUGGGGCGUGGAAAGGGUUUUACUGGUUUUGGAUGGGCUCACGGCCUAUCAGCUUGUUGGUGGGGUAAUGGCCUACCAAGGCGACGACGGGUAGCCGGCCUGAGAGGGUGACCGGCCACACUGGGACUGAGACACGGCCCAGACUCCUACGGGAGGCAGCAGUGGGGAAUAUUGCACAAUGGGCGGAAGCCUGAUGCAGCGACGCCGCGUGAGGGAUGACGGCCUUCGGGUUGUAAACCUCUUUCAGCAGGGAAGAAGCCACAAGUGACGGUACCUGCAGAAGAAGCGCCGGCUAACUACGUGCCAGCAGCCGCGGUAAUACGUAGGGCGCAAGCGUUGUCCGGAAUUAUUGGGCGUAAAGAGCUCGUAGGCGGUUUGUCGCGUCUGCUGUGAAAGCCCGGGGCUCAACCCCGGGUCUGCAGUGGGUACGGGCAGACUAGAGUGCAGUAGGGGAGACUGGAAUUCCUGGUGUAGCGGUGAAAUGCGCAGAUAUCAGGAGGAACACCGAUGGCGAAGGCAGGUCUCUGGGCUGUUACUGACGCUGAGGAGCGAAAGCAUGGGGAGCGAACAGGAUUAGAUACCCUGGUAGUCCAUGCCGUAAACGUUGGGCACUAGGUGUGGGGGACAUUCCACGUUCUCCGCGCCGUAGCUAACGCAUUAAGUGCCCCGCCUGGGGAGUACGGCCGCAAGGCUAAACUCAAAGGAAUUGACGGGGGCCCGCACAAGCGGCGGAGCAUGCGGAUUAUUUCGAUGCACGCCGAAGAACCUUACCAAGGCUUGACAUCCACCGGACCGCACCUGGAGACAGGUGCUUCCCUUCGGGCUGGUGGACAGGU
rnacentral:rRNA from 1 species